AAUCAAAAGAAAAAAAAGAAAGGAAAAGGUCGAACAAGGUACACUUUAGGUACACUUUCUAGAAAGAUACUUUUCAUACCGCCCUCGCUAGCAUAGCUCGAAGAAAUUGGUGGAAUGCAGGAGAUCCAGAAGAUCAUCCGAUUGCACAGUUAUGUUAAAGCUUAAAGCUCAGCUUAGGCAUGCAAUAGGUACAGGCGAAUAGACUUGAUUCAUGUGAAAUCAUUCCCCUGCAUAGUUUCACUUACGGCACACGUAUAUAUAGAUUUUCGUGAUUUUCGCAAUCGCAGAGUGAAUGGUGAAGACACGUGGAGUUACAUAACUUCCAAUUUUUCACUAUUAUCUAAUCAUCCGCUGUUUAUAUGGAUUAAUAAAUCCGAAGAGUGGCGUUAGCUGAACUACCCGAGGGAAAAGUGAAAAUAAAGUGAAAUUCUUGAAAGAAGCAAAGGUACGUUAGUCCACCGUGGAAAGAUAAGGUUCUGACACAGUUUUAUUUAGGGAUAGGAGUACUGGAAAAUCUUAAUACAGCCAAGCCGGCCAACCAAUCUACGGUAUCAACUACUAAAACAACCAAGCUGACCGUUUGGGAGUUAGCGCAGUGCACAUCCACGGCGGCAAAGUGAAGGCUGAACCGUUGACGUUGGGCUAGCUCAAUAUCGGAAAUCAUUUACGGCUCGUGAAAGACCAACCACCAUACACCACUGCUGGACGUCCGAAUUUCAGUUUGAACCUGCCGAUCUCAUAAAAAAAGCCGGAGGACAUAAUCGUCACCAACCUACGAAAACUUACAAAGGAUUGAUGCAUACAAAUGAAUCCGUCAAAGUCAUCUUGGGCCCAACGAUACCCCGAUGAGUUUAACCAAUUACUGUGAGUACCACUAGUGGCUGAAACCACAAUGUCUAUACACCAAUGCAGGCGUAAGUUUGUUGAAGUAGAUAUAUAUAUACUGAUUUGAAAGAAUAUUACCCCCCUCAAAUGCUCAAAUAAUUAAGUUUUUUUUUUUGCUGAUCCAAGAAGAAGGAAGUCUGUAUAUUUUUGUUUAUUUGUAAAUGUAAGGAAUCGGAUUAUAUCUGUAAUUUAUGUAAAAAAA